rnacentral:rRNA from 1 species
GUGAGGAAUAUUGCGCAAUGGAGGCAACUCUGACGCAGCCAUGCCGCGUGCAGGAAGAAGGCGCUACGCGUUGUAAACUGCUUUUAACCGGGAAGAAACCCCAGGACGUGUCCUGGGUUGACGGUACCGGAGGAAUAAGCACCGGCUAACUUCGUGCCAGCAGCCGCGGUAAUACGAAGGGUGCAAGCGUUCUCCGGAUUCAUUGGGUUUAAAGGGUGCGUAGGCGGAGCGUUAAGUCAGUGGUGAAAUCCUGCAGCUUAACUGUAGACUUGCCAUUGAUACUGGCGCUCUUGAGUGCGCUUGAAGUGGGCGGAAUGUGCCGUGUAGCGGUGAAAUGCUUAGAUAUGGCACAGAACACCAAUUGCGAAGGCAGCUCACUAAGGCGAUACUGACGCUGAGGCACGAAAGCGUGGGGAUCGAACAGGAUUAGAACCCUUGUAGUCC